AACCAUGCACCGAAGCUGCGGCAGCGACGCUUAUGCGUUGUUGGGUAGGGGAGCGUUCUGUAAGCCUGCGAAGGUGUGCUGUGAGGCAUGCUGGAGGUAUCAGAAGUGCGAAUGCUGACAUAAGUAACGAUAAAGCGGGUGAAAAGCCCGCUCGCCGGAAGACCAAGGGUUCCUGUCCAACGUUAAUCGGGGCAGGGUGAGUCGACCCCUAAGGCGAGGCCGAAAGGCGUAGUCGAUGGGAAACAGGUUAAUAUUCCUGUACUUGGUGUUACUGCGAAGGGGGGACGGAGAAGGCUAUGUUGGCCGGGCGACGGUUGUCCCGGUUUAAGCGUGUAGGCUGGUUUUCCAGGCAAAUCCGGAAAAUCAAGGCUGAGGCGUGAUGACGAGGCACUACGGUGCUGAAGCAACAAAUGCCCUGCUUCCAGGAAAAGCCUCUAAGCAUCAGGUAACAUCAAAUCGUACCCCAAACCGACACAGGUGGUCAGGUAGAGAAUACCAAGGCGCUUGAGAGAACUCGGGUGAAGGAACUAGGCAAAAUGGUGCCGUAACUUCGGGAGAAGGCACGC
rnacentral:rRNA from 1 species